rnacentral:rRNA from 1 species
GUAGGUGGCAAGCGUUGUCCGGAAUUAUUGGGCGUAAAGCGCGCGCAGGCGGUUCUUUAAGUCUGAUGUGAAAGCCCACGGCUCAACCGUGGAGGGUCAUUGGAAACUGGAGAACUUGAGUACAGAGGAGGAAAGCGGAACUCCACGUGUAGCGGUGAAAUGCGUAGAGAUGUGGAGGAACACCAGUGGCGAAGGCGGCUUUCUGGUCUGUAACUGACGCUGAGGCGCGAAAGCGUGGGGAGCAAACAGGGAUUAGAUACCCUGGUAGUCCACGCCGUAAACGAUGAGUGCUAAGUGUUAGGGGGGUUUCCGCCCCCUUAGUGCUGCAGCUAACGCAUUAAGCACUCCGCCUGGGGAUACGGCCGCAAGGCUG